GAUUGAACGCUGGCGGUAUGCUUAACACAUGCAAGUCGAACGGAAACGAUACUAGCUUGCUAGUAGGCGUCGAGUGGCGGACGGGUGAGUAACGCGUAGGAAUCUGCCUGAUAGUGGGGGAUAGCCCGAAGAAAUUCGGAUUAAUACCGCAUAAUCUAUUCGUAGUAAAGUGGGGGACUUUCGAGCCUCACGCUAUCAGAUGAGCCUGCGUAAGAUUAGCUAGUUGGUAGGGUAAAAGCCUACCAAGGCAACGAUCUUUAGCUGGUCUGAGAGGAUGAUCAGCCACAUCGGGACUGAGACACGGCCCGAACUCCUACGGGAGGCAGCAGUGGGGAAUAUUGGACAAUGGGGGCAACCCUGAUCCAGCAAUACCGCGUGUGUGAAGAAGGCCUGAGGGUUGUAAAGCACUUUCAAUUGUGAAGAAAAGUUAACGGUUAAUAACCGUUAGCCUUGACGUUAACUUUAGGAGAAGCACCGGCUAACUCCGUGCCAGCAGCCGCGGUAAUACGGAGGGUGCAAGCGUUAAUCGGAAUUACUGGGCGUAAAGCGUGCGUAGGCGGUUUAUUAAGUCAGAUGUGAAAGCCCCGGGCUUAACCUGGGAACUGCAUUUGAAACUGGUCAACUAGAGUAUGGUAGAGGAAAGUGGAAUUUCUGGUGUAGCGGUGAAAUGCGUAGAUAUCAGAAGGAACAUCAAUGGCGAAGGCAGCUUUCUGGACCAAUACUGACGCUGAGGUACGAAAGCGUGGGUAGCAAACAGGAUUAGAUACCCUGGUAGUCCACGCCGUAAACGAUGAUAACUAGCCGUUGGGGGGAUUUACCCUUUAGUGGCGAAGCUAACGCGUUAAGUUAUCCGCCUGGGGAGUACGGCCGCAAGGUUAAAACUCAAAGGAAUUGACGGGGACCCGCACAAGCGGUGGAGCAUGUGGUUUAAUUCGAUGCAACGCGAAGAACCUUACCUGGUCUUGACAUCCUGCGAACUUUCUAGAAAUAGAUUGGUGCCUUCGGGAACGCAGUGACAGGUGCUGCAUGGCUGUCGUCAGCUCGUGUCGUGAGAUGUUGGGUUAAGUCCCGUAACGAGCGCAACCCCUAUCCUUAUUUGCCAGCACGUCAUGGUGGGAACUAUAAGGAGACUGCCGGUGAUAAACCGGAGGAAGGCGGGGACGACGUCAAGUCAUCAUGGCCCUUACGACCAGGGCUACACACGUGCUACAAUGGGAAGGACAAAGAGCCGCGAAGCCGCGAGGUGUAGCUAAUCUCAGAAACCUUUUCGUAGUCCGGAUUGGAGUCUGCAACUCGACUCCAUGAAGUCGGAAUCGCUAGUAAUCGUAGAUCAGAAUGCUACGGUGAAUACGUUCCCGGGUCUUGUACACACCGC
rnacentral:rRNA from 1 species